ACUAUUUUAAUGUACGCAUGUGUAGAUCUAACCUUACACCUAUCGAUCUAGUUCAUAUGAUGAAAAACAAGAAGAACAUGCAUAAGAUUUCAUACAUAAAUUUAAUCUGGUGAUCGAAUCACCUACUUGUAGCACUAAUUUUCUUCUUAAAAUCUGGAUCCAAAAAUAUCUAUAGGUUCUGUUGAAAGUCACACAUACAUCCAGCCUCUAUGGAUAUCCACACG
rnacentral:lncRNA from 1 species